rnacentral:rRNA from 1 species
CGGAGCCGUAGCGAAAGCGAGUGUUAACUGCGCGUUGAGUUGCUAGGUAUAGACCCGAAACCCGGUGAUCUAGCCAUGGGCAGGUUGAAGGUUGAGUAACAUCAACUGGAGGACCGAACCGACUGACGUUGAAAAGUCAGCGGAUGACUUGUGGCUGGGGGUGAAAGGCCAAUCAAACCGGGAGAUAGCUGGUUCUCCCCGAAAUCUAUUUAGGUAGAGCCUCGGACGAAUUCCAUUGGGGGUAGAGCACUGUUAAGGCUAGGGGGUCAUCCCGACUUACCAACCCUUUGCAAACUCCGAAUACCAAUGAGAACUAUCCGGGAGACACACGGCGGGUGCUAACGUCCGUCGUGGAGAGGGAAACAACCCAGACCGCCAGCUAAGGUCCCAAAAUAUUGCUAAGUGGGAAACGAUGUGGGAAGGCAUAGACAGCUAGGAGGUUGGCUUAGAAGCAGCCACCCUUUAAAGAAAGCGUAAUAGCUCACUAGUCGAGUCGGCCUGCGCGGAAGAUGUAACGGGGCUAAGCAAUAUACCGAAGCUGCGGCAGCA